GACGAACGCUGGCGGCGUGCCUAAUACAUGCAAGUCGAACGCAAAACUUUCACCGAAUGCUUGCAUUCACGAAAGUUUUGAGUGGCGAACGGGUGAGUAACACGUGGGUAACCUGCCCAGAAGAGGGGGAUAACACUUGGAAACAGGUGCUAAUACCGCAUAAUAACAAAAACCGCAUGGUUUUUGUUUGAAAGAUGGUUUUGCUAUCAAUUCUGGAUGGAACCGCGGCGUAUUAGCUAGUUGGUAAGGUAAAGGCUUACCAAGGCAAUGAUACGUAGCCGAACUGAGAGGUUGAUCGGCCACAUUGGGACUGAGACACGGCCCAAACUCCUACGGGAGGCAGCAGUAGGGAAUCUUCCACAAUGAACGAAAGUCUGAUGGAGCAACGCCGCGUGAGUGAAGAAGGUUUUCGGAUCGUAAAACUCUGUUGUUAGAGAAGAGCGUGUGUGAGAGUAACUGCUCAUGCAGUGACGGUAUCUAACCAGAAAGCCACGGCUAACUACGUGCCAGCAGCCGCCGUAA
rnacentral:rRNA from 1 species